UAAAAUUGCAUCUGGAGCUGUGGUGUGUGUUGAAAGUAGUGAAAUCAGAGGAGAUGGGUCCAUUGGAGCCAAAACAGCUGUUCACCCCAAAGCACGGAUCAUAGCGGAGGCAGGGCCCAUCAUCAUCGGAGAGUCGGAGGAUCAUCAACCUGAUCGAGGAGCAAGCUCUGAUCAUUAACAAUUAUCCAGAGAGAACAUUAUGCCAGACUCAGAUGGUUUGAGCCAAAGACAAUGACCGUCAGGUCCAACAAUGUUUUUGAAGUUGGGUGUUUCUCCCAAGCUUUUUAAAUUGGAGACAGACAACAAUGUUAGUGAAUCCAAAGCUGAUCCUGGAAGAAAUGUGAUCCUGACAAGCGGCUGCAUUAUCGGCACUUGUUGCCAGAUCAAUACAAGUGAAGUCAUACCGGAGAACAUGGUUGUUUACGGCUCAAACUGCAUCAGACGUUUGCAAAGUGAAAAGCUGCAGCCUCAGACUCUGCAGCUUGAGUUCCUCGUGAAGAUUUUGCCAAACUGCCAUCACCUGAAGAAGACGGUCAAAGGAAGCAGCGCAGCAGUAAAAAACUAAGGUACAUCUGGACAG